AGUUCAGUUUAGAGCGUGGGCUUGAAUGAGACGGUUCGCUACUUGUCGGCAGCUCCGAGCAAUCUAGAAGUAAAAGAAGAUAGUAAAGCAGUAAACCAAAAGACAGAGUAAAGUCGCACAAAUAUAAAUUUGUGCUGCCAAGUGUUGCGCGGUUGAGAGACGUUCUGGUGGCCCGCGCCCAAGUGUGAAUUGUGCUCAAACUUAAAUUCCCGUUCUUUUAAUAUUAAAUAUAAUUUUGAAAAUCUGUGUGAAUUGAGUUAGGUAUGUGAUAGUACAAUAGUAAAGAUGAACUAAAGUGAGCUUAAUCAGGACAAUAAACACUUGCUAGCAGCGAAUUAGCCGCAACUGUCGUACGCGCUGUCAGAAAUGCGAUAAAAAAUAAAUUAUUUAAACGCCGAAGCCAGCGAUUGCAAAAUGCUGUUUAAGUGUAAAUAAGCGAUAAGUGGUAAAGCAUUUGCGGGAGUCUGCGGAUGUCACCUGGUAAAGAUCACAGGUCGUUGAACCGUUUUGACACACCAGCUACACAGGCAAACAGUAAGACAUACGAACAUCAUGAAAACUCUCCACACCGCAUUGCAACAAAUAACAAAAUUCUAGCAAUUGUUGGCCAACUAUCUCUUCCAUUCUUCCGCACUGACAAAAACGUCGCAAUCUGCGCGUCUGGCUGAGCUGACCUGUUAGGCUGCAAGCUGUCGCCGUCACGUGUAAAGACCCUGACACUACUACCACACGUUUUUCCGCCACUGUUGUUGCUGUUGCAGGCAUAAGAGCUUUGCCAUCCUUUAGAAAUGUGAAGACAAAUGUUAUAUUCUUACUUUGCGUCGUUUUGAUUUUCGGGAUGAGAAGAAUCAAUUGCUCAUAACAAAUAUUUGGCUCAAAUUGGCAGACGAGUUAGCAGAUCGAUUGGAGACCAAGCUAACCCCAAGUUCUCAAACACUCAGAUGCUUUAUAUGCUUAUGUGGACGGGAUAAAGAUAGCAAAUAUGCAGUAAUGGCAGCAACUUGAUUGAAAUCUUCUAACAAAAUAGCAACGAAUGCAAUUUGAGUUUAGUCAACUUGCCACUGUUGAUGUGAAGCAGGUAAACAAGUGAGGCGUGCUUCUGUCAAGAUGACCAUUUUACUACUGCCGAGUCUCCAUCAGUGAAAACCUGCGAUCGAACUUGAUGUUGGUGAAUAAGGCGUAACAUUUUACUCUGGAACUUUAUCAAUUACACGGAAAUGAAAUUCAUUGUACUAAUUAGACUUUAAGCACAUAUCUCAAAUUUUAAUAAUAAUAAAAGCGCAAACCGUAAAA